rnacentral:rRNA from 1 species
AGAGUUUGAUCCUGGCUCAGGACGAACGCUGGCGGCGUGCCUAAUACAUGCAAGUCGAGCGAACUGAUAAGGAGCUUGCUCCUUUGACGUUAGCGGCGGACGGGUGAGUAACACGUGGGCAACCUACCUGUAAGACUGGGAUAACUUCGGGAAACCGGAGCUAAUACCGGAUGAAUCUUUUCUUCGCAUGAAGAAGAGAUAAAAGAUGGUUUCGGCUAUCACUUACAGAUGGGCCCGCGGCGCAUUAGCUAGUUGGUGAGGUAAGAGCUCACCAAGGCAACGAUGCGUAGCCGACCUGAGAGGGUGAUCGGCCACACUGGGACUGAGACACGGCCCAGACUCCUACGGGAGGCAGCAGUAGGGAAUCUUCCGCAAUGGACGAAAGUCUGACGGAGCAACGCCGCGUGAGCGAUGAAGGUCUUCGGAUCGUAAAGCUCUGUUAUUAGGGAAGAACAAGUAUCGGAGUAACUGCCGGUACCUUGACGGUACCUAACCAGAAAGCCACGGCUAACUACGUGCCAGCAGCCGCGGUAAUACGUAGGUGGCAAGCGUUGUCCGGAAUUAUUGGGCGUAAAGCGCGCGCAGGUGGUUCCUUAAGUCUGAUGUGAAAGCCCCCGGCUCAACCGGGGAGGGUCAUUGGAAACUGGGGAACUUGAGUGCAGAAGAGGAAAGUGGAAUUCCACGUGUAGCGGUGAAAUGCGUAGAGAUGUGGAGGAACACCAGUGGCGAAGGCGACUUUCUGGUCUGCAACUGACACUGAGGCGCGAAAGCGUGGGGAGCGAACAGGAUUAGAUACCCUGGUAGUCCACGCCGUAAACGAUGAGUGCUAAGUGUUAGGGGGUUUCCGCCCCUUAGUGCUGCAGCAAACGCAUUAAGCACUCCGCCUGGGGAGUACGGCCGCAAGGCUGAAACUCAAAGGAAUUGACGGGGGCCCGCACAAGCGGUGGA